rnacentral:tRNA from 1 species
GCCCGGGUGGCUUAGCGGUUUAGCGCCUGCCUUUGGCCCAGGGCGCGAUCCCGGAGUUCGGGAUCGAGUCCCGCGUCGGGCU